rnacentral:tRNA from 1 species
AAGAAUUUAAGUUAUAAAAUUAAACUAUUGACCUUCAAAGCCAAAAAAGGAAACUUUUUCAAUUCUUA